rnacentral:rRNA from 1 species
UACGUAGGGUGCAGGCGUUAAUCGGAAUUACUGGGCGUAAAGCGUGCGCAGGCGGUUUCUUAAGUCAGAUGUGAAAGCCCCGGGCUUAACCUGGGAACUGCGUUUGAAACUACAAGACUAGAAUAUGUCAGAGGGGGGUAGAAUUCCACGUGUAGCAGUGAAAUGCGUAGAGAUGUGGAGGAAUACCAAUGGCGAAGGCAGCCCCCUGGGAUAAUAUUGACGCUCAUGCACGAGAGCGUGGGGAGCAAACAGG